rnacentral:rRNA from 1 species
CCCUUAGAUGUCCUGGGCUGCACGCGCGCUACACUGACACGUUCAGCGAGUUUUGCCUGCUCCGAUGGGACUGGGUAAUCUUAUGAAAGCGUGUCGUGAUGGGGAUAGAUUAUUGCAAUUAUUAAUCUUCAACGAGGAAUUCCUAGUAAGUACAAGUCAUCAGCUUGUGCUGAUUACGUCCCUGCCCUUUGUACACACCGCCCGUCGCUCCUACCGAUUGGGUGAUCCGGUGAAUAACUCGGACUGCAGCUAUUCGGGAGACCGUUAGCUUGUGGAAAGUUUAGUAAAUCUUAUCACUUAGAGGAAGGAGAAGUCGUAACA